rnacentral:rRNA from 1 species
GACGAACGCUGGCGGCGUGCCUAAUACAUGCAAGUCGAGCGAAUUUACGAGAGCUUGCUCUCGUAAAUUAGCGGCGGACGGGUGAGUAACACGUGGGCAACCUGCCUAUAAGACUGGGAUAACUUCGGGAAACCGGAGCUAAUACCGGAUAAUUCACAUCUACUCAUGUAGAUGUGCUGAAAGACGGUUUCGGCUGUCACUUAUAGAUGGGCCCGCGGCGCAUUAGCUAGUUGGUGAGGUAACGGCUCACCAAGGCCACGAUGCGUAGCCGACCUGAGAGGGUGAUCGGCCACACUGGGACUGAGACACGGCCCAGACUCCGACGGGAGGCAGCAGUAGGGAAUCUUCCGCAAUGGACGAAAGUCUGACGGAGCAACGCCGCGUGAGUGAUGAAGGUUUUCGGAUCGUAAAACUCUGUUGUUAGGGAAGAACAAGUACCAGAGUAGCUGCUGGUACCUUGACGGUACCUAACCAGUAAGCCACGGCUAACUACGUGCCAGCAGCCGCCGUAA